rnacentral:lncRNA from 1 species
AAAUUUUAACAUAAAAAAUUUCCCCUCAAACCCCUUUUAAAUUUAAUUUAUUUUUUGAAUUAAUUUUAGUUUUUAUUCCUGGAGAUUUUGGUGGAAUUUUCCCAGAAAUGAAAUUAAACUUUCCCAGAAAUGAAAUUAAUUUGGACAUUUUCCUGAAAAAAAAGGGAAAAAUUCAAUUUUUAAUGAAAAAAAGGGGGAAAAAUUUUGGGGGAAAAAUUCAUAUUUUAGGGUAAAAGUAAAUUCAAUUUUUAGGGGAAAUAAAGGGGAACAAAAUUUUAAUUUUUAGUGGGAAAAAAAGAAAAAAUUCAAAUUUUUAGCAAAAAAAAUUUCAACUUUUAGGGGAAAUAAAAGGAAAGAAAAUUUUGUAUUUUUAGGGGAAAUAAUGCAAUAUUUUUAAAGCUUUUUUUUUAUUUUUCAAGGAAUUUUAGCAGAUUUUUUAAGGAAUUUUUUAAACAUUUUUAGAAGAAUUUUUAGAGUUUUUAAAAGGAUUUUUUCAGGAAAUAUUUAGGAUUUUUAAAGGCAUUUUUCAGGAUUUUUUAGCAAAUUUUACAGAAUUUUUUUAAUGAUUUUCCCCCUUAAAAAUCCCCCUUUUUCCCCAAAUUAUGGAAAUUUUUUUUUGCUUCUUUUCCUGUUUUUUAUACUUUAAAACUAAUUUGCAAAAUUAAUUUUUUCCAAUAAUUUUUUCCAGGAAUUCCACCUCAAUCCCUCCCUUUUUACCCCAAAAAAUCCCAAAUUUUUCCCCAAAUUUUCACAUUUUUCCCCAAUUUUCCCCCAAAUUUUUACCUUUUUUUUUUCCCCAAUUUUUUAACAUUUUCUCCAGAAAUUUUUCAUUUUUUUUCCCCAGGAAUUCCACCUCCAAUUCUCCAUUCCCUCCCAAAAAAAUCCCAUUUUUCCCAAUUUUUUUACAUUUUUUUCCCAAUUUUUUUACAUUUUUUCCCAAUUUUUUAUAUUUUCCCCAGGAAUUUUUCACCUUUUUCCCAGGAAUUUUUUUCUGGGAAUUUUCCCAAGAAUUCCACCUCAACCCCUCCCUUUACCCCUCAAAAACAUCCCAUUUUCACCCCAAAAAAUCCCAUUUUUCCCCCAAAUUUUUACAUUUUUCCCCCAAAUUUUUACAUUUUUCCCCCGUUUUUUUUACGUUUUUUUCCCGGGAAUUCUUCAGUUUUUUUGCCAGGAUUUUUUUUUGUGUUUUUUCGAGGAUUUUGGGUGGGAAUUCAGGCGGAAUCCGAGUCGCUGGUGUCCGAGGAGGAGGAGGAGGAGGAAGAGCUGCUCGAGUCCGAGCUGGAGCUGGAGGCGCUCAAACGCGACGCGGCCGCCGCCGCCGACUCCGGCUUCUCG